GACGAACGCUGGCGGCGUGCUUAACACAUGCAAGUUGAACGGUUUAUGGUGAUGAAGUGCCUUCGGGUAUGGAUAUCCAUAGGCAGUAGCGAACGGGUGAGUAAUGCGUGAGGACCUGCCCUGAGGAGGGGGACAGCAGUUGGAAACGGCUGGUGAUACCCCGUAUGCCGGGAGGUGAAAGGGCCUUUAUGGUCUGCCUUUGGAUGGGCUCACGUCCUAUCAGCUAGUUGGUGAGGUAACGGCUAACCAAGGCGACGACGGGUAGCCGGCCUGAGUGGGUGACCGGCCACACUGGAACUGAGACACGGUCCAGACUCCUACGGGAGGCAGCAGUGGGGAAUUUUGGGCAAUGGGGGAGACCCUGACCCAGCGACGCCGCGUGAAGGAAGAAGGUUUUCGGAUUGUAAACUUCUGUCCUUGGUGAAGGGAAGAAGACGGUAGCCAAGGAGGAAGCCCCGGCUAACUACGUGCCAGCCGCCGCGGUAA
rnacentral:rRNA from 1 species